rnacentral:rRNA from 1 species
UACGGGGGGGGCAAGCGUUGUUCGGAAUUACUGGGCGUAAAGGGCUUGUAGGUGGCCAACUAAGUCAGACGUGAAAUCCCUCGGCUUAACCGGGGAACUGCGUCUGAUACUGGAUGGCUGGAGUGUGGGAGAGGGAUGCGGAAUUCCAGGUGUAGCGGUGAAAUGCGUAGAUAUCUGGAGGAACACCGGUGGCGAAGGCGGGUCUCUGGGCCGAUACUGACGCUGAGGAGCGAAAGCGUGGGGAGCGAACAGG